GGUCAAGUGGCCUAGUGGUCAUGGCAUCUGCCCGGUAAGCGGAAGGUUGUGGGUUCGAUUCCCAUCCCUUGACACA
rnacentral:tRNA from 1 species